CUUGGUCAUUUAGAGGAAGUAAAAGUCGUAACAAGGUUUCCGUAGGUGAACCUGCGGAAGGAUCAUUAGUGAAUUAAACAUGCUUGGUGUCUUCGCUUCGGCAAGGCCCUUGCCUAAAUCACAUCCUAACACCUGUGAACUGUAAGACGUAUGAUGAGGUCUUUGGCCAAGUCAUCGUCUGCCCUUUUUUAACAAACAAUUAAUGUAACAAACGUAGUCUUAUUAUAACCUAAUAAAACUUUCAACAACGGAUCUCUUGGCUCUCGCAUCGAUGAAGAACGCAGCGAAAUGCGAUAAGUAAUGUGAAUUGCAGAAUUCAGUGAAUCAUCGAAUCUUUGAACGCACCUUGCGCUCUUUGGUAUUCCGAAGAGCAUGCCUGUUUGAGUGUCAUGAAAAUAUCAACCUUGACUUGGGUUUUGUGCUCUAGUCUUGGCUUGGAAUUGGGUGCUUGCCGCUUUUACGAGCGGCUCACCUUAAAUGUAUUAGCUGGAUCUGUCUUUGAGACUUGGUUUGACUUGGCGUAAUAAGUAUUUCGCUAAGGACAUUCUUCGGAGUGGCCUCGUUUCUAGGACGCUUGUCCGCUUCCCAAUACAAGUUCCACCUCGUGGACAUGACUUUUUUAUUAUCUGGCCUCAAAUCAGGUAGGACUACCCGCUGAACUUAAGCAUAUCAAUAAGCGGAGGA
rnacentral:rRNA from 1 species